UAAAUGUGUUUUUUAAGUGUUACCUACAACAUUGUUGAAGAAUUCGAAUGCAUUGAAGUAAUUUUGCUUUUGAGAAAUUAAUUUUAUGAAUAGAUAAAGUGGCUGGUUGUGUUUGGGACUAAAUGCCUGUUGGAGAAAUAGGCUAACAAAGGGUGAAGGUGAAGAUCAUUAGAGGUUUUAGAGCUGGCUGAGACGGGUUGCUGGGGUUGUGUAACUGUGCCUAGAGGGCGGGGUUCCUGUACAUUCCUACUUCACCAGAUAACCUGCCCCCAACACCACUCCAGCUUCUGCCAGACAGAUGGAACUCUCCAAUAUGAAAAUCUGCGCAGCCAUUCCAACAAGCAGGACUCUGCGCGAGGUUGUCCGAAAGAUGCGGAGGAAAAAGACUUAAGGACUGGCAGCGCUCUUACCCCAAGAUCGGUAAGUGAAAGUGGUUUUCGGAGGGGAGGAGGGCUACUCCUGACUGCUUUUGCUUGAGGCUUAAACCGCGACUUUGAGGUCCAGGGCUAAAGUGCUCCCCAGUUUUUAUUUUUUAUUUUUGAAAAAUUUCGUUAGCUGGGCGUCCUAUCAGCCGCAGUAGCUGAACGAGUGCAUGCUUUUCCCACGUCGGCAGAAAGUCACAGUGGAUCCCUAAGAAAAGAGGAUGUAGGCAGGACAAAGAG
rnacentral:lncRNA from 1 species